GGUUGAUAGGUAACAGACAGUGGUUGGUCGGCAGGAGGGGGUGGCUGACGGCAGUGGUUGGUCCCAUCGGGGCAGCGGCGACGAGCGAUGGUCGUGACGAUGGGGGCGGCAGCUAAGGGCACCAAUGGCCAAUGACGGCAGCGGACGAUGGUGGGGGCCGACGGUCGGUACGAUGGCGGCGGGGGCCAGCAGGCGACGAUAGUGAUGACGGGGCCCGGAUAGAGAGAUA
rnacentral:lncRNA from 1 species